CCCGAACCAAACGUGAAACAUCCAGCCAUAACUAAACUCAAUAUAAACAAAACACAAAACAGGCCCAAAAUAUGGAUAACAAACAAAAUGAAGAGAAAGCCAAACGCCCAAGACUUUAUUCUUUAUACCUGAUACGGUGAUACUGUGAUACCCAAAACUCAAAACCUGCAGAUGCAGAAUCAAUCAAAACGCAUCUGCAACGGCAGCAAAGCAGCACCGCAAAAAAAGAAAAAAAGAAAAGAAAAAGACAGUCGGCACGGCAGUCCAGAGAAUCAGAGUUUUCAGAUCAGAAUCAUCAGAUGUGAUCGGAUGAUUUAGAUCGGAGGAAGCUUCAAGCAUGAGCAGUUGAGCCACUGAGCCAGGCAGCCAGCAACAGUGGAGAGAAUCAGUGAAAGAAUGAGAGAGGUGGAGAGCAGAGAGAAAGAAGCAGUGGGAAAGGAAACUUCAUACAGCUGGCUUAUUCAAACUGGUUUAUGAAUAAAUAGUUCGUGCUUAAUGUUACAACCUACAAAGUAUUAAAAAAAAAAGAGAUGUUAUGGACAUGAAGAACAACCACAGAAGCUGCUGCAACGACCUUGCCAUCACCAAUGAGAAACAAGAAAGGCGGGUUCGGUACCACGAGACUAGAGCUCAAAACUUGACAAUUGCAUACCUCAUACUGCUUGGAAUAUACACAAUGGCAAUCUCACACAGAUCAUCAACGUCUCUUCAGUGCAAAAACUGGUGGGUUCCUUUUGCCAUUUCCCUCUCGUCCUCUAUAAUAUACUUCAUGACCUUCUUAAAUACUGUGAGCAAGUUUUACUGGACACUGUAUCAUCUAGACCUGAACUAUCUGGAUCUGCAAUUGAUACAUACGAGGAUACGUGAAGCUGAAUUCGAGACAAAAUGUCACAGUACGAGUGAACAGAAGCUUGAUCCUGUGGUGCUGUUCAAACGAAAACUCUAUAUUGGUAUUACCGUUUCAGCUUUGAUUGCUAUUACGGUUAUCCAAUUAUAUGCCUGCAGGUUGCUUUUGUGUUGAAAUGAUGUGCUUGUCCUUGGCCAAAAAAAUCAUUUUUCUCAAGUACGUAGGCAUUGUAAUAUUGUCUCUCACUCGCUAACACAAAAAAAAAAAAAAGAAGAGCAAUCUUAUCAUCUCAGUUAUUAGUCUGGGGGAAGAUAUUCCACUUGACGUUGAACUUGUAUUUUUGCACCUUUUUUACUUUUUGUUUUUUGAAGACAGAGGUUAUGUACUUAAUAAAGGGAGCUAAAUAAUGCCAGGAUCUAGCUGAUCAGGCAACACUUCCUUA